UAACUGAACUGUUUUUAUUAAAAAUCCUAUUUGAAUAUGUGGAAAAAGUGGGGAUGUCCUGUAGCAUAUCGUAGCUUUUCUUGUUUACAGGGUGCUCAGAAAGCAUGCGUCCCUUAGAGUCCCACGGAAAGGUUCUCAGUGCGCUCUCUAUCAAGUGCUAUGAGUCUUGAUAAAUUGGAGAAGAGCCCAAGAGAAAUUUUUCAUCCCUUGAUAUAAAAGGGAUCGGUGAAUUUUAACUUUGGAGUCCUCUGUGCUAAGGAUGCUCAGCUUACCGAUGAUGAAAUGUUCAGUAAUGUAUUUGCUGCAGCUCUGCUUACCCAAGCUUUGGGUUCCUUCUGUCCCACUGGGAGUUGCCCAAUUUGGUUGCAUCUGGUGAAAUUCACCCUGAGACCUUACAGAACCAGCUCCAACUGCGUGAGAGCCAUUUGCAGUUCUCUCCAGACGACUGGAGAAUGGGCGACGUUUCUGAGGAUCCGGCGAGCGUGCUUCUAUCAAAACUCAGUCUGUGAAAUUUCUGGGGAAAACCCUUCUGUGUCCUGAAGGGUUCAAACUCUGGUGAGGAUCCAGUUAUCAGGUGCUCACCUGGAUGGUUCCAGCUCCCAAAGGGAAAGACUCUCGUAUCCUUGUCGUCGGGCUCAGUGCUGUCCAAGAAGAUACAGAGACUAAAAAAAUCAUAAGAAGCAAAAUAUGACUGCAGGGAAAAGAAGCUGGAGAGAACAGAAGACUCAUCACGGCGGGACAGCGUGAGGACUGAAAGUGUAAGAAGAUGUGGAGGGAAACAGAGAAUCUGACAGGAGCAGCGAACGCACGAGUGCAGGAAUUUUGCUUUUUGCUUGGAUAUAAACUCAGGAGUUGAAAGGAAUUUUGGAGUGAGAAGGGACAUUUUAGAAGGAGAAGAAGAAAAAGAAGUUGUUGUUGUUGUUACAGUCCUGGCAAAAGCUUUUGUUCUAGCUAAUAAAAGAAGUUAGUUUAAAAAACAAAAAGGAAAAAAUGUAGUGUUUUUUUUUUUCCUUCACUAUGAUAUUCAUUGGUGGUAUAUGGUGUGUUGUUUUAUUUCUUGGUAUUAUUA